rnacentral:tRNA from 1 species
UCCGCCGUGGCGUAAUUGGAAACGCAGCUGGUUUUGGUCCAGAAGAUUCCAGGUUCGAGUCCUGGCGGCGGAGCCA